UUGGAUUAUUAUGUUACUUAAACAAAUGAUAUAACCAUUAUUUAGAAAAUAUAAAUAAAUAAUCCAUUAAUUUAAUUGAUUUGUUAUUGAUUGAAAUGUUUUAUAGUAUCUAACCUACAAAAAUAAGUUCUAUUUAUUUUCACUGUUCUUUAAAAUUAUUUGAAUUUUUCAGUUAUUUAAUUUAUGUAAAUAAUUUGAAAGAAUUGUUUAAAAAAAUUAUUAAAAAGAUAAGAUCUAAUAUUUUAUAUUAUUUGGACACACGAUUAAUUAUAACAUUGUUUGAAAGCAUGGAUUGUAAUAUAAAGAAAAUAGUAUUAGUGAUUUAAAGUAGGUUUAAUUAUAAAGUAAAAAUGUAUAUUUAACUUAAAAAUCUAUAAAAUAAAGGUAAGGUCCAAAGGUAGGAUUCUAUUUUAAUAAAUAGAUCUAUAUAAAUUUAAGACAACUUUUGACAAAGAAUCAUAUAAAUAAAGCAUUUCGACUUUUUUUCCCACAACAAAAUUGACAGAUAUAAAAUAAUGAAUAUUAGAAAAACAUUUGUUAUGUUUUUUGUUGUAGUGGUAUUAGCAACGUCUUCGUUGUCCAACUCCAACGUUUUAGCCUCACCGGUGAUCAAUUAUGGGGAUGGAUAUACUUAUUGCAGUGUAAGAUAUUGUACAAAAGAUUGGUUAGACACUGAAUGCGAAGCUGAGUGUAAAAGAAGAACAUACAGCACAGGGGCAUGUCUUGGUCCUUUUCCAAAACUUCAAUGUUGUUGCAAAAAGUGAAAUAAAAAAACAUUAGAAAGUGGUCAUCUUUUAUACAACUGGUGAUUUAAGGGUUGGUUUAUAUAUUUCUAUUGUAUAAAAAGAUAUUUUAUUAUCUUUUUUUCUCUUCAAUAAAAUAAUCUAAUUAUAUUAUUA